rnacentral:rRNA from 1 species
GUCAGUCUUUGUCCAGGGGGCCGCCUUCGCCACCGGUAUUCCUCCAGAUCUCUACGCAUUUCACCGCUACACCUGGAAUUCUACCCCCCUCUACAAGACUCUAGCCUGCCAGUUUCGAAUGCAGUUCCCAGGUUGAGCCCGGGGAUUUCACAUCCGACUUGACAGACCGCCUGCGUGCGCUUUACGCCCAGUAAUUCCGAUUAACGCUUGCACCCUCCGUAUUACCGCGGCUGCUGGCACGGAGUUAGCCGGUGCUUCUUCUGCGGGUAACGUCAAUUGCUGAGGUUAUUAACCUCAACACCUUCCUCCCCGCUGAAAGUACUUUACAACCCGAAGGCCUUCUUCAUACACGCGGCAUGGCUGCAUCAGGCUUGCGCCCAUUGUGCAAUAUUCCCCACUGCUGCCUCCCGUAGGAGUCUGGACCGUGUCUCAGUUCCAGUGUGGCUGGUCAUCCUCUCAGAUCAGCUAGGGAUCGUCGCCUAGGUGAGCCGUUACCCCACCUACUAGCUAAUCCCAUCUGGGCACAUCUGAUGGCAAGAGGCCCGAAGGUCCCCCUCUUUGGUCUUGCGACGUUAUGCGGUAUUAGCUACCGUUUCCAGUAGUUAUCCCCCUCCAUCAGGCAGUUUCCCAGACAUUACUCACCCGUCCGCCGCUCGCCGGCAAAGU